AGUGAACGCUGGCGGUAGGCCUAACACAUGCAAGUCGAACGGCAGCACAGUAAGAGCUUGCUCUUACGGGUGGCGAGUGGCGGACGGGUGAGGAAUACAUCGGAAUCUACUUUUUCGUGGGGGAUAACGUAGGGAAACUUACGCUAAUACCGCAUACGACCUACGGGUGAAAGCAGGGGAUCUUCGGACCUUGCGCGAUUGAAUGAGCCGAUGUCGGAUUAGCUAGUUGGCGGGGUAAAGGCCCACCAAGGCGACGAUCCGUAGCUGGUCUGAGAGGAUGAUCAGCCAAACUGGAACUGAGACACGGUCCAGACUCCUACGGGAGGCAGCAGUGGGGAAUAUUGGACAAUGGGCGCAAGCCUGAUCCAGCCAUACCGCGUGGGUGAAGAAGGCCUUCGGGUUGUAAAGCCCUUUUGUUGGGAAAGAAAAGCAGCAGGUUAAUACCCCGCUGUUCUGACGGUACCCAAAGGAUAAGCACCGGCUAACUUCGUG
rnacentral:rRNA from 1 species